rnacentral:rRNA from 1 species
AAGCGUAUUAGCGGAAGUUUUCGGAUGGAAGCAGAUAUGACUUAGCGGCGGACGGGUGAGUAACGCGUGGAUAACCUGCCUCAUACAGGGGGAUAACAGUUAGAAAUGACUGCUAAUACCGCAUAAGCGCACAGGACCGCAUGGUCCGGUGUGAAAAACUCCGGUGGUAUGGGAUGGAUCCGCGUCUGAUUAGCUGGUUGGUGAGGUAACGGCCCACCAAGGCGACGAUCAGUAGCCGACCUGAGAGGGUGGCCGGCCACAUUGGGACUGAGACACGAUCCAAAUUUAUACGGGAGGCAGCAGUGGGGAAUAUUGCACAAUGGGGGAAACCCUGAUGCAGCAACGCCGCGUGAGUGAAGAAGUAUUUCGGUAUGUAAAGCUCUAUCAGCAGGGAAGAAGAAAGACGGUACCUGACUAAGAAGCCCCGGCUAACUACGUGCCAGCAGCCGCGGUAAUACGUAGGGGGCAAGCGUUAUCCGGAUUUACUGGGUGUAAAGGGAGCGUAGACGGCUGUGCAAGUCUGAAGUGUAAGCCCGUGGCUCAACCGCGGAACUGCUUUGGAAACUGUAUAGCUUGAGUACUGGAGAGGCAGGCGGAAUUCCUAGU